GAUCCUGGCUCAGAUUGAACGCUGGCGGCAGGCCUAACACAUGCAAGUCGAACGGUAACAGGAAACAGCUUGCUGUUUCGCUGACGAGUGGCGGACGGGUGAGUAAUGUCUGGGAAACUGCCUGAUGGAGGGGGAUAACUACUGGAAACGGUAGCUAAUACCGCAUAAUGUCGCAAGACCAAAGAGGGGGGAACCCUUCGGGGCCCGUCCUUUGCCAUCGGAUGUGCCCACGAUGGGAUUAGCUAGUAGGUUAGGGGG
rnacentral:rRNA from 1 species